rnacentral:lncRNA from 1 species
GCCAUGUUUAUUCAGUGCUAUAGACAAGUGUGUUAAAUAUAUGUUGCCAUGUUUAUUUUUUUGAAAAAUUUCUUUUCACGGGUUAAUUAUAAACUGUUAAGUAGGCACUCAAGAACUUUCAGCCAAAUAAAGUAGCUUCGCUCAACAAUAAAUUUCCCUCUAAUUUGUGUACACGUAUUAGUCGACUAGUUAAUGCUUAAGAUUAAACUAGCAUUAGAGCCGUAAAAUAUUUUGUUUAUAUAUAUAAUUGGUACUGACUCAAUUAUCAUAUUUAUAAAUAUAAUAAAAAAAUAGAAUUUUAGUUGGAUAAGAAAAAGGAGAAUUUACAGUACUAAAAAUUGAUAUUAUAAGAAGAAAAAAUCUAAGUUAAAAGAAAAAGAUAAAAAUAAAAAUGAAAAUAAAAAGAGUUGAAAAUAUAUUCAUUCAUAAAAAGAUGAGAUAGGAGAGAGAAUUUGGUUAACUUUUAAUCAUUAAAUAAAUAUAAUUCUUACAUUUUAAAUCUAAUAUUUAAAUAAAAUAUAUCAAAUAAAAGCUCUUGUGGUGAUCUUUAAUUUGAAUGCGUAUUAAAUAUUAAAUAAUUAGCUAAAUUUUCAAAUUUUAAAAAAUAAAUAAGACUAAAACAUAAAAAGAUAAAGAAAAAAGAAAAAAAGAAAAGAAAAGAAAUAUAGUGUACAAAUAAACCUAGCUUCAAUUUUAUUAUAAUCAUAAAUUACCACUCAACUUUAAAAUUAAUUUAAAAUUAAAAUUUAUCCUUUUGAAAUAUUACAUAUGUUUCACAUUCAAGUGCACCAUUACACGAUCUUUCAAAUGAUUUGUUCAACCAAAAAAAAUAAAAAAAUAAAAAUCGUAAAGUUGAAACACCAUGCGAUUAGAAUAUUCAUAAUGGGCUUUUUCUUAUGUUCCAUAUCCUACCUUGCAGCAGCAGCAGCAGCCAUAUUUGACUAAUUAUACGGCAUAGGACAUCUGGACAUGAAUGUUGAAUUUAAUCUAUACUAAUAGAAAAAGAACUCAAGGCAUCUUAAGGCACAACUUGUGGAUUACUUAUUUCAGUUGGUCUUGGGUGCGACCGUUGCACACUAUGCGACAGGUCCGCCCCUAACCCAAGACCCGAAAUCAUGAAUCCUAAAUUAUUACAUUUGUUUAUAAUAAUUGUUAUUUGUAAUAAGCAUGAGAUAUACAUUUAUUCGCUCAAAUGUAUACUUAUAUAAAUAUAAAUAUUUACCUUCAUUUAAUAUAAAGUAUUAUAUUUUCUAAACCGUAAUAGGAGUAUUUACUUUUAAUAAGCAUAAGAUAUACAUUUGGUCGUACAAAAUGUAUACUUAUAUUAAUAUAAAAUAUUUAUCUUCAUUCAAUAUAAAGCAUUACAUAUCAAUAAUAUUUUUUCUUACGAUAAUAAUUAUUUGAUCAAAUAAUAAAGUAAUUAUUUAUGCUUAUUAAAAGUAAUCAUUGUUAUAGUAAAAACUAAUAUUUGAUAUGAAAUAUAAUGUUUCAAAAAUAUUAUAUUAAUUGAAAUUAUUGUUGUAAUAAAAAGUCAUUAUUGCUAUAAUAAAAAGGAGUAAUUAUUAUUAUUAUAAAGAAAGAUAAAUUUUUUUAAACAUUACAUUUUUCACAAUAUUGAUAUUAACUACUUAUAUUAACAUAAAUAUACAUUUAUACGAACAAAUGUAUAUAUUAUACUUAUUAAAAGUAACAGUUAUUAUAAACAAAUGUAAUACUCCAUCCGUCCACGAAAUGAGUACCCAUAUUUCCUUUUUCGUCCGUCCACGAAAUGAGUACCUAUUUCCCUUUUUGGCAAGUGUACCCCACACAUCUCUUUAAUUAAUACACUCAAAAAGUGAGACCCUUAAACUAUUUACACUACACUCCAUACAUUUCUUAAAACUCGUGCCGUCCACAAAUGGGUACUCAUUUCGUGGACGGAAGGAAUAAUUGAGAGUGCAGGUCAAAUUCACGCGGAUCAGAAGGCGGGUCAACCCGUCGCACACUAGUGCGACCGCCGCACCCAAUAAAUUGCGCAAAAUAAAAAGAAAACGAAGAUUUAUGUUUAGAAGAAUGAUUUUAAUUAAAUUUAUGUAGAAACAGAUCCAUUUUGAAAACUAUCUUAAUUACCACCCAAAUAUCAUUUUUUUAUGUAUUAAUUACCUUUAUUAAAUAAUAACUUUUGAAUAAUUCAUUGCUAACUAUUUCAACAGGUCGACCAAAAAUGGUUAAACUUUCAAAAUGAAGGAAACCAAUUGAUCUCUUGCAAAUAUAUUCAAGUCAAAGCGACGUCAAAUUACAUGAAUGUCAAAUUCAAUUUGGAUUCUUCCUUCCUCACCAUGUUGGUUUAUCAAGUCUUUUUCACUUCAUACGAUGACAAACAAUUAGGUCGGCUCGAAUUUCAAAGCCGAGGUAAAAGUUAUCCAACAAUCAUNAUGCUUAAGAUUAAACUAGCAUUAGAGCCGUAAAAUAUUUUGUUUAUAUAUAUAAUUGGUACUGACUCAAUUAUCAUAUUUAUAAAUAUAAUAAAAAAUAGAAUUUUAGUUGGAUAAGAAAAAGGAGAAUUUACAGUACUAAAAAUUAGAUAAUUAUAAGAAGAAAAAAUACUAAGUUAAAGAAAAAAGAUAAAAAUAAAAAUAGAAAUAAAAAGAGUUGAAAAUAUAUCAUUCAUAAAAAGAUGAGAUAGGAGAGAGAAUUUGGUUAACUUUUAAUCAUUAAAUAAAUAUAAUUCUUACAUUUUAAAAUCUAAUAUUUAAAUAAAAUAUAUCAAAUAAAAGCUCUUGUGGUGAUCUUUAAAUGCGUAUUAAAUAUUUUAUAAUUAGCUAAAUUUUCACAAUUUUAAAAAAUAAAUAAGACUAAAACAUAAAAAGAUAAAGAAAAAAGAAAAAAAGAAAAGAAAAGAAAUAUAGUGUACAAAUAAACCUAGCUUCAAUUUUAUUAUAAUCAUAAAUUACCACUCAACUUUAAAAUUAAUUUAAAAUUAAAAUUUAUCCUUUUGAAAUAUUACAUAUGUUUCACAUUCAAGUGCACCAUUACACGAUCUUUCAAAUGAUUUGUUCAACCAAAAAAAAUAAAAAA